rnacentral:rRNA from 1 species
UACGUAGGGUGCGAGCGUUGUCCGGAAUUAUUGGGCGUAAAGGGCUCGUAGGCGGUUUGUCGCGUCGGGAGUGAAAACCUCCAGCUUAACUGGGGGCUUGCUUUCGAUACGGGCAGACUAGAGGUAUGCAGGGGAGAACGGAAUUCCUGGUGUAGCGGUGAAAUGCGCAGAUAUCAGGAGGAACACCGGUGGCGAAGGCGGUUCUCUGGGCAUGAUCUGACGCUGAGGAGCGAAAGUGUGGGGAGCGAACAGGAUUAGAAACCCCCG